GAUGAAGCCGAGCGUCGAUGAGAGCGACCUCCCCGUGCGUCGCCGGAGGAACAGACUUUUUUUUUUUUUUGCCGUCUCCAAACCGGAGAGAAUCGCAAAGGGGCGAGACAAUAACGCCCAGAAGUUAUUGAAAUGAAUCGUCAUGAAAGGAGCUGACACAAGGAGAAGAAACAGAAGAGUGCUCGCAGUGUUAGCCUUCACCGUGGAGGGAAGAAAGAGAAGCAGAAACACCCCCCAAGCAGAAUGCGACGAGGAAAAGAUGAGUGAUUAAAGAGAGGUCCAGACACGAAGGAGGCACGCAAGCACAUUUACACACUGAACACACACACACACACACACACACACACACACACACACACACACACACGCAGACACACACACACAUUCAGUUCAACGGCACCUACAGUCUGUCUGCGGUCUACCACCACCCCACCACACACACACAUGGCUGUUACGGUAAGAAUCAGAGACCACCGAGUCAGGAGGAUAAUAACGGCAUAAAUGUGAGAAAACAAACUCAUUAUCCACUGCUGUUUUCUUCCUCGAGUCAUUAUAGACAAAUUGACAGCUUCUAUUCCUAAAUGUUUAAACUUCAGUUGCUUUAAAAAAAAAAAAAAAUUCACCUCAAUAACAACACAAGAUUUUUCUUCUAUUUAAAAUGUUAAGGGAAGAUUUUUUUUGAAAAAUUUAAAUUACUGCUGAACGGUUUUAUGUGUGAAGUAAUCGUGUGUCUUCUGUCAUUUGUAAUGUGUCCAUGUGUGCACGCUGUCUUUUUUUUUCUGUUACCGUCUUUCAAUCCACAAGUUUAACAGCCGUACCACAUAUCCCACAACCCCCCUCAUAUCCAACCUUCCUAACCCGCCCAGUGCCCCUCCCAGGCUUCCCAGCAUCCUGCUUUGCGCAACCUCCAAAAAAACCAUGCGUGCUGAAAUUACAGUGUGUGCAGCGGCAUUGUGGGAAACCCUUCCCUCCUGCUCACUCACUGGAUUUGCCCUCCUUAUUUUCUCCUCACUCUGCUACUGUUUUGGAUAGAUUUGGGCAAGGUUUGUUUUAAUUUUCAUUAAACUGUCAAACGGUGAUAAUUUGCAACUAAAUUGACAAAAGUUCAGAGGAAGGUUAACAAGGUAUGAACACAGUUCUAAAUAAGAUUUGCCUCUUCGUAUUGAUUAAUUUUUAUAUUUGCUGGCCUUGUAUAAUUACAGUUAGGAUGAUGGUCUGAUCAGUUUUGAUAUCUAAAGUAAAAUACUGUGUUUGUGAUUUAUAACAUUUUAUAAAUACAACUCAUUACAACUAAUUAGUUAACCUUUAUCUUCUGUUCAGUAUUUUGAGUUAUCACACUGAGACUUUAAAAAAAAAACUGUGCUACAGUACAUAGAAAGUAGAAACCAAACUAUUUCAGUGUUGGAUUCAUAGAUUUAAAUGUAACCAUGCGGAUCCAAUUUAACAGAAAAAAAGACAUCCGAAUUGGUGAUAGAAAGUACAGUCUUGCUUUUAAUGAAGCUACUUAAAUGAGAAAGAAGCAGCACAGAGCUCUUGGCUUCUAGCUUCAGGUUAACUGACGGCACCGCCCUUGCAGCGACCAUGUUACUAACCAGCUGUAAUGAUACACUCCAUCAGUUCGGCUUUGCCUGCGUGGGCUAUUGGUUAACAGACGGCCGAGGUGCAGCCUGUGUGUGUGUGUGUGUGUGUGUAUCUAUGUGUGUGUAUGUACGGCAGCUAUUAAAGCACUUGAGAGUCAGAGAGGAAAGGACUCUGCAAAUGGAUGUGUCUAUUGAUGUUCCCAUUUAGCAGCACACUGUAAACGAUAGGGCAAUGAUUGGGUUUAAGACGGAAGGAGGUGGAGGAGUGGAGAGCAGUUUGGCUGGGUGAUGAUAAUGACAAGGAAGGUUAUUAUUUGGCGCCCCAUGGAGUCUCUCUCUGCGCUUUGUGUCUGUGUGACGGAGAGGGACAGAGAGUGGAGAGAGCCACUCUACCUCCAUACCUCUCGCCCCUCUUGCCUAUUGGCUAUUAUUCACUUCUCGCUUUUUCUCCCCCGUCCACUCUUGAUGGCAUUACUUGCUGCUGCUAGUCUACAUCCAAUUGUGGCUUUUUCUUUUCUCCACAUCUGGCUCUAUUUCUGUUUUCUCAAUGGCCUUCUCCUUUUUUUUUUUAAAUGCAUAGUGGAGCUGUCUUUUGUGACGGUAAAAAAAAAAAAAAAGCAGAAAAAAACAGAAUAAUGCAGAAGAGGCAGCAAAGUAGUUUCUUGUUAUAAAAUUUUUAGGAUAGCAGGUUGCACUUGAAAUAUUAAUGUACUCACCACUAGAUUUUUUUUCCCCAGCUGUGUGUGUGUGUGUGUGUGUGUGUGUGUGUGUGUGUGUGUGUGUGUGUGUGUGUGUGUGUGUGUGUGUGUGUGUGUGCUGUCAGUUCCAAUCACUGUGUGUGUGAUGAAUAUUAAUAUAGUCAGCCUGCCUGCAGGUUUGGCAGGAGACCACCUCCAGCUGGACUCAGACCCCUACUCAAGUGUGUUUGUGUGUGUUUUGUGAGCAUGGUUGUAUAAGUCAGCUUGUAUCUGUCAGUGCUGUGACAACCUCAGGAGGAAAUAUUUCAAAAAAUAUAUACAACUUGACACACAAAUCACUGAAAUCACAUAGAAGGAUGCAUCAAGUUUAAGCAACAAUAGGAUUUUAACUUUUUGGUCUUUUUAUUUUAAAUUUAAAAACAACCUAUGCUGCUAAAAACAUGUUAAAAUUAGAUUUAAGUGCAUGUUAGAAUUAGGUAUUAAUAGUUUUUAUAAGAGCAAGUCCAUGUUUCAGUCUACCUUCCCCCACUUUGUUUGUCACAAUUACUUUAAUCAACCCAAUUCUUUCCAGUCGAGCUUGUCAGGGCUUGUGUGUGUGUUUCCCUGUUGAUGGCACAUUGUUUGUCAGAAGAUUAAUGCUGUUGAAAUUAUUUGCAAAUCUCUUGUCAGCGUUGUAAAAAUCAAUCUGUCAUUCUCCGUGUGUGCAUGUGUCUCUAAUCGCAGGGCAGCAUAUAAACCGGGAGACGCCAUUCCAGCUGUGAGGAGACGGAAGAAGUCAACAUGUACACCUCACACACACACACACACACACACACACACACACACACACACACACACACACACACUCUCUCAAAAUGCACACAGAGCCGGAGGCGCGUGAGCAGGUGAGCAUUAAGUUAGGCAGCUAAACAGAUCACGUCGCAGUAUGAUAUCUGCAGACAGGCAGACAGAGGAGGCUGGUCUGUACCUGCAGGCAGAGAGCAACAACUCACAGCACCCUCGCCAGGAAUUUCCUCCCCCUCCUGAGAAAGAGCGAGAGGUAGAGGGGGAGGAAGAGUGACGGCGAGAGGCAGGCGUAUACUUGGGUUGCCACUAUUUUACGUUUGAAGUAGUUUUAGCUAGUUUAAACACCAAACACACUCGAAAUUGCUUUUGUGUCACAACAUAUUUAAACAGUUGGAUGCACCUCUAAAACAGUUUUUAUCACUAAAAUAGAGUUAAAAUCUACCCAGAAUUCUUAUAUGUGAAGUUCCUCCCAUAUGAAAUGCAUGACUUUUUUUAAGAAUUUAAAAUAUAGCAGACAUUAAGUGAUAUUAAAAGUCACUAAUACCCAUCAUCAGUGUUUUCACAUUUAUCCGUAGCCCAUUAAAGCAAAUUUAGGAAUUAAAAAAAGAGAUAGCUUUUGUAAUUUUCUGCUUAGUAUUUCCAAGUUAUCUUUAGAUAUGUCUGUUUUUCACAUUUCAUUUUCAAAACUAAUUUGUGAUAAAAAAAAAAACAAAACCAUUGUCCUCCUUGAUGUUUUUUUUCUUUUCAUCUGGUUUUUUCCAAGCAAAAGCUCACUUUUGCAUGCCUAAAUUUAGCCUUAUUAUGACAUAAUAAAAACAACCUUUAUUUAGGAUAUGAGGAGGAGAAGGGCGGAGUGGAAAAAAGGCACAAAUCCUAUAUAGACAAAAAAACCUGCUCCAUCUUAUGUUUGGCCACAUUUUGCAUGAACGUUCUUCCUUACCCUCAUCAGAUGAAUAGAUAUGAAUAGAUAUCGUUUGACACAAAAAUGAAGAGAGGAGCGCAUUCACACGCUACUGUGAUAUCACAUACUGACGGAACUUUUGUUAUUUUGGAGAAAUUCAGUCACCUCAUGCAUGAUUUGUCAUUCUGAUAUUACUAAUCUGUUUUGACAGGGUCCACGGUUCUGAAUGUGAAACACUGACAGUAUCUGUUACACAAACUUGUUCCACCAUUUCCUAUUGUCAGCGCUCCUUAAAGCAAUUUUGUAACUGCACCUCAUUUCACACAUCUGCUCAGCAAAUGUGUCCUUAAUCUGUGGCAUCCUGUAUCACAUUUACAGUAAUUCCCCAUCGGGAGAUGCCCUUUACAGUUUCGGUGUCUCACUGUUAGCCGCUGUGCAGCUUCACCGAACAAACUGUGGGUUUUGUCGGUGCAGAAGAGAACCUCAACAGUAGUCAUUAAAUAAGACAUAAGUUCAUUUCUACUACACAAGUUUUUCCAACAAUUCAUCACCCUGUAAGCCACAAACUGCCUUUUUUGCUCUUUAAUCUACCAUCGUCCUCAUUAAGCAGAUCAUCCUUGUUCUGUGAUCAGCAUUAUUUCCCAGCUAAGGUUUUUAUGAUCUUUUUCAAAGCUCUUCAUAUUUAGCCUGGGAAAAAAAAAAAAAAGCCUCAUGGAAUUUUUACAAGUCUCAAGCCCUCCCCACCACAUCCACUUAUCUAAAAAUGAUUCAGUGGUUAAAUGUCAUAGCUGUCCGUGCCAUUUAGGCCAGCAUGUUUGAAGGAAGGACACCCUUGCCUGCCCUCCCCCUCCUCCCCCAUCUGUCUCUUCUUAUUCCUCUCUCUCCUUCCUGUCUCCCCUCAGCUUCCUCAUCCUCCAACACUCCCCCCCCGCCCACGCCUCCCUACCUCACACAGCCCAGACUGGUUUGAGGGCUGAUGUGCAGACCUUGUCAUUCAGAUUAGGGUCACAUUGUCAGCUCAGGGCUCUUCUCUCUCUAGUUGCGUGUACCGGAUCUUUCUUCCUACUGUCACCCUCAUCCUGCGGCCAGAGAAGACCUUAUAAAUCUACAUUCCUUCUCAUCCACUUCUGUCAAUUCCAACACUGUCACUCAAAUCACUGUUGGGGAGAGUGAAGAGAGACCGAGUUAGCGCUGUCCCUUGGAGCAAGGACUGUGCUUUUUGGUCCAGGCUCGGGUGAUGUGUCAUCAGUUAGCAAACUGUUUUCUGAUUUUAUUAUUGCAAGAGCUGCUGCUACUGUGUCAUGUCAUCAUUUGUAUCUCAGUUAAUGCAUUCUUCUGAAAAGCUUGUAAUUCUUACAAAAAAAGGACACACAUUCAUAUCUGUAUCUAUAAAUAGCUUUUGUUCUCUUAAAGACAAAGAAGCGGCAGAUUCUCCUUUAAAAUUCUGCACAAAUGUUAACACUUAUUGUGUCGCUGCUUAAUAGUACAGACAGUCAUGCUGUUAUUUUUAACUAUGUUUUCUACGCUAAAGGAGUAUUUGGCAAGAGAUGAGAUAUCCACCACAUCAUCUUAGUCACACCGUAUCCUGCCAUGGAAAAGUGUCCAAACACCAUAUUUAUCAUCCGACCACAUCUUGACUCACUGCCACAGUUGCUGUCACGUCACAUCUAAUUGCUGCAGCAGCUUUGUGGCAUUUGAUUUUUGUGCUUGUCACAUAUGCUGCACUUUUUUUUUCUCAAGAAGAGCAAUGAUUCAGCACUGUGUAAUAAGACCUUUCAUACAAGAUGGUGGACAGUUUCUUUACUGGUAUUUGUGCAAGAGGAAGACAAAAAAAAAAAACAGCCCAGUCUAGCCACCAUGCCACAUCAUAACGAAACAACAGACGCUAUUGAUCAGGGUGAGUCGACAGUUUCAUACCCAUUGUUUUCCUCAUCCUCCACCUUGUAUGAAGCCAUUGAGGCAUGCUGGUGUCUCUCUAGAGGCCGUGCCGCUGCGCUUCAAUACAGCAUAUGACAACUGGCUGCUGCAGCCUCCACCCAGGUGCUGUUUACUCAAAACCCACUAUGAGUCAGGAGUUUCAAGUUGACUUCCCCCAUCUAACUGCUGCUUGCAAUGAAAUAAAAUGCAUUCCCUUACACUGACACUUCCUUUGGUAUAAUAAUCAUCGUGUGUCAUAGAAGGUAAUAGUGCAAACAGCACUUCAUUGCAUUGCUAAGAUUUAAGAAGUGGCGAGCAAAGUCAGAUCUGCUUCUUUUUUUAUAGUCGCUGUGGUGAAAUGACAGGAGGAAGGAACUUGCUGAAUAAAAAAACAACAUUGAUGGUUUUUGAUAAAAAUAUUACUGCAAGCAGUUUAGUAAGUAUUUCCAUAAUUCCAUUUGACGUAUUUUAGCAUGCUUGAUCCCUGAAAUGACUCGUAUUUUGUGCCUUUUCUAAAGUACAUAACGUGAACAGGUACCACAAGAUCCAAGGAAUGUGGGAGAAAGCAGGUUUUUGAUGACUGAACCGUUAGAAAUGUUCUGUUCUUGUUCAAACAAAGCUCAUUAUGUUUCAUUAUUUAAAUGCUGUAAAUUUGUAACUGGAAUUAGCACAAACAAUAUAAAUGGAUAUUCAGUUUAGACAUUUGCAGUUAUCUGAUAAAGCCUAAUUAGAAGAGAUGGUAUCAUCGAAGUUUAGUAAAACACUCAUGACCUUUUCAGUGUCCUUCCUGAGAAUGAAAGAGAGAUUUAGUGAGAGAGUGUGAGAGUUAGAAACCUCUCUGCCCACAGAGAAGACAAGCUCCCUCUGCAUCUCUAAGCAGACUGUCAUCCCUGGUCACCAUCAGGUCUGUGUUUGCCCCAGUGAACAUUCAACGCUGUCGGUGAGUUUGAGCUAAAUUGAAAAAACCAUCGACCGUUGACUGUACCCUGUGGCCAGCCUUUGUCACUCGGUGUUUCAAAAAAGAAGUAAAAAGGAGUCAAAAACAUGCAGAAACCUGCGCACAGGCACGGCCGAUGACUCCUUGAAAAAAAUCGCACGAAGAGCACUGCGUCCCUUCUGCAUAAAUACGCAAAAUACUUCCAGCUUCGAAACCACAGCAAAGGUCACAAUCAACAUUCAUUGCUGUCGGUGGGUUUAACUGUGUGGAAGAGCUCACUGAACGAUGAAUGCAACUGUGUCCCAGAUUUCAUCCAACCGUCACAAGGAAUAGUGUCACGAUAUGCUGAUGAUGGCAUUAUUUAUUUCUCUGCCUCUCUCCAUCUCUUGCAUUCCCUCAACAACAGCCGCACAUUCACGCUGUGAACUCACAGGCAGUUCAGAUUGCAUCUCAAUCACACUUGGUUGCAGCAGAGGGCUCUAAGUUUGCUAUAGGAGCAAAGGAAAAAUGAGAAAAUGCAACAAGAUAGCUGGAAAAAUGACCUUUGAAGAAAAAUACACUCCUGUAUUUAGUGUUUUAUAAAUGAUUUAGUUGUUGUAAAUAUUGCAUUAGAAAAAUAAAUAUGAGUGUGCUGAAUAUGAAUAUUCAGUAUCAUUAUAGAAGUGAUCUUUUGACGAUAAAAAUGACUUGGCCAGUAAAGCAUCAUUUUAUCAGCCAGAUGUAUUUCAAAUGGUUCAUGUGUUAUUUUUGAAGAAGUUGUUUGUAAUUUGUGAAAUAAAUUUUGUACCUGCUUCUUAUUCUUUUCAACAAACCAUUAAAGAACCACAAGGUUAUGUAACUGCACUGUGUAUUCAUGACUGUUGUAAUAAUGUAUAUUCUUUCUUUGCUGUAUUUUAUCAAAUAAAUUUUCACCACUGCAGUA